CAUUAUUUUGGUGGUGUGAGUAAUGAGAUGUGAGUAUAAGGACUUUGUCUUUUCACUGUCUAAUUACAAGCCCAGAUGAAGUGUGAAUGAGUUUGUGUAAAUCAGGAAAAUCAUUCCUGCUCCACUGUGUAUUUCCUGUUUCCCAUGUGGCAGAUGGGCAGAAUGGUGAGAAAACUCAUGGGGAGGGAGAGCCAUUGUUGAACAUGGACUACUCCUUGCACAGCCAUUUAGAGGUUCAUGCAAAAUAACAAGUGCAACCAGCCGUAGCAGUAAUGGAAUACUGCCAAAACCGUGCUAUCAGAAUGCAGCCCAGCCCAGAAGAGAACUGAAACAGCUCCUUGAUUCCUGUUGGAAACCCUGGAAGUCAGAAUCAAGCACUCACUGUGAGGGAACUUCUCUUGUGGAAUUUGCUGACUCUUUCUGGACACCACUGAGCAAUCCUAGGGCAUGGUGAUCUCUACUGUGCGGGGGCUGAGGAGGAAAGUGACCCACCCUCACUGUGUCACCCCCCAUGUGUCACAUUCCCACACGAAGGCCUGGCAGACUUGCAUCUGAAACACUGAAGGGCCGCUCUGACUGAAUUAGAAAUCUCUGCUAACUUGGUUGCCUCCUUCUUAGGUGUGUUGUAAAUGUUUCCAAACAAAUAUCCAUGUCUUCCAGUCUCUUACAGAGCGCACAGAAUAGAAUCAUAGAAGAGAUUGCUUUUAA